AUAAUGAUACUUCUGACCGUUCAGGCUGCCAUCGUAAAAGGACAGCGGGUGAAUUCCCAUGA
rnacentral:ncRNA from 1 species